rnacentral:rRNA from 1 species
GUGGGGAAUAUUGGACAAUGGGCGAAAGCCUGAUCCAGCCAUGCCGCGUGUGUGAAGAAGGUCUUCGGAUUGUAAAGCACUUUAAGUUGGGAGGAAGGGCAGUAAGUUAAUACCUUGCUGUUUUGACGUUACCGACAGAAUAAGCACCGGCUAACUUCGUGCCAGCAGCCGCGGUAAUACGAAGGGUGCAAGCGUUAAUCGGAAUUACUGUGCGUACAGCGCGCGUAGGUGGUUUUGUAAGUUGGAGGUGAAAUCCCCGGGCUCAACCUGGGAACUGCCUCCAAAACUGCAUGACUAGAGUACGGUAGAGGGUAGUGGAAUUUCCUGUGUAGCGGUGAAAUGCGUAGAUAUAGGAAGGAACACCAGUGGCGAAGGCGACUACCUGGACUGAUACUGACACUGAGGUGCGAAAGCGUGGGGAGCAAACAGGAUUAGAAACCCCAGUAGCC